UACGUAGGGGGCAAGCGUUGUCCGGAUUUACUGGGCGUAAAGAGCGUGUAGGCGGCCAAACAGGUCCGUUGUGAAAACUCGAGGCUCAACCUCGAGAUGUCGGCGGAAACCACUUGGCUAGAGUCCGGAAGAGGAGAGUGGAAUUCCUGGUGUAGCGGUGAAAUGCGCAGAUAUCAGGAAGAACACCUAUGGCGAAGGCAGCUCUCUGGGACGGUACUGACGCUGAGACGCGAAAGCGUGGGGAGCGAACAGG
rnacentral:rRNA from 1 species